rnacentral:lncRNA from 1 species
UUUAUGUCACCUGACUUGACACCUCCUCCAGCAGCCAUCCAGAGGGAUGUGUUCUUCUUGGUAGUCUCUGCAAGGGCAGUAGGCUGCUUGUAGGCACUGAAAUGUACUUGAGUUGGAAAACCACCUCAUGUCAGCUCAGUCCCUGAACAAGUUCUUUCAGGAGAGAAUGUUCUCUUAGUCCCAGUCGUAGAAUCAGAACUAAACCAGAGGAGGGGCAGUUGGGAAAUUAUGUAACAGGUAUCCAGUGUUUCCUAACAGUCAAUCUUGCUCCAACGGGCUAUCACCAUUUAAGAUGUACCCACCUGUGGUUAAAAAUCACUGUGCUUAGAAAUGUAAACGGGUACUUCAGUUUCAGAAAAGACUUUAUGUAACAAUGAACACUCUGUAUCUUAGAGUCUAGAAUGUUCACUGGGAUUUCUGAUUUAGUCAUAUUAACCUUUGUACCCUGGCAGUUUCAUUACCGUGAAAUAUCCUAUUUAUUGAUGUGCAUCAUCCUUGUGAUUAUUUUUGUUUGUUUUAAGUCUCUCAAAUUUGACAACCAUGACAGGCUAGGAACUACAUUCUGUAUUGUUACAGUUUAAAUCUGGAAUGUCCCCAGAAGCUCAGCUGGUGGCACUGUGGGGAGAGGGGGAAGAGUGAAAGGAAGUUAAGUCAUUGGGAGUGUGCCCUUGAAGCCACUAUUGGGAUCUUAGCCUGUCCUCCCCCAUAUCUGCUUACCAGCCACCAUGAGAUCAUCAACUUUGCUGUACUAUGGCCACCAUGCCAUGAUCCUCUGCCUUACCACAGGUUUCAGAUGAUGAGCUGAACCAUCAUGGACUCAACCCAUGAGCACUAACUUUUUUCUCAGGCAUCUUUGACAGAGUGAUGACUAAUAUCUUGUUGGGAGUGACAAGUGACACAGGUCUGUCUCAGCAGGCUGCUGUCCCCUGCAACGUAGUAGGAACUAACAUUCACUGACCUCAGAGUUGAAAACAUCAGGGCAUGUGACUCUGUGCUGAGAUUCCUUUUCUUUUCCAUUCCUUAUUGGUUUUCAGAGGUUUGCUACAACCCUACCAGAGUCUGACCUAGGGCAAUACACCGCCCUCUCCAUGCUUUAGCUUUCUGUUGAAUGGAUCUGGGGCCUCUCUAGGUCUGGGCCCUUUGUUCUACCUCCUCUCUACUCAAGACCUCAGACUCACCUGUCACCGGGAGCCUGGGAAGUGCACUGCAAUUGGCCAACUGGCUGAUAGGUGUGGUGUGAAAAAAAAAAUGACUCCAAGUGUGGUAGCCAUGCCUAGGAUCCUGGCACUUGCAUCAGGGUCAGAGGCAGCAGGGCUGCUAUACAUCUGAGUGCUCAUUUGAAAAAAACAAACCACUGAACAAACAAAAGGAGACAGACCGCUUGCAGAAUUCAAGUUCACAAUAUCUAAAGGGCAAAAUUAUACAGAACCCAAAAUAGCAUAUGCCUGACAUCUAAAAAUUCUGUCUUUAGAAGUGCAGCUUGGCUCUCUCUGCUGCUUAAAUGAAGUUCCCAAUUUGGCUAAGUGUAUGCAGUCAUUGCACAAUGGGGGUUCCAGAGCUUUCUGCUCCUUUCCUGUCACUUGUCCACCUGUCUAUGGGAGAGGAGAGAACGGUUGGCGUGGGGAGGGCUCCUGUCAUCUGGGUCACCUAUAGCUACACGGAAAAGGCCAGAUUGAGACAGCGCUUGACUUUCACCCUGCCAGCAUUCAAGGGGCUGGUGGGCUAGCUAGGCAGUUGGCUCAGAGAGGUCAUGUGACUUACUCAGGGUGGCCGGGCCUUUGGAGCAGGGUUUGAGCCAGAGACUACUUGGUUUGGAACUGACAUCCUUUUUCUGAUGUCACCUUUCUCUGCACUGCUUGAAGGAGCCUCACUAGGGCCCGAUAGAUUUAAAAAAUGCCUUUCAGCCGGAUCCACAUACAAAAGCAUGAUUUCCAGCCAAGCCAAUUUAGUAAAUUGAUUUGUAAACUCCUGUGUGUUCCCAGAGUGCUCUGAAGGACCCUUGAGAUGCAGCUUUUGCUGGGAAAAUGCAAAGACUCCUCCAGCUCUCCCCUACCCCCCUUCGAUUUUAGUAGCAAAUAAUGCAGACAGCACUGGCUACAUCUGCCUGCCUGUCAGUUACCCAGAGCAACAGUGGUACUUUUUACCUGUCCAAACUCCUCCUUCAGCCUUGGAGGUCUCAAUACAUUAUGCCAAAACAGUGUCACCAACUGUAACUUCAUCAAGUGACUGAAGAGUCCAAUGUGCUGAGCGGAAUGCCUGCAUGGCAGCUUUAUGGUUUGAUCCAGUCUGCUGGUGACUGCGGAGCUGCAGUUAGCAUUUAGAUCGGCUUUGAGGGAUCGAGGCCACACCGGUGUGAGAAAAUACAGAGGUGUGUUGUGCCCAGCAAUCAGAGACGGCUCCUUAAACGAAGUCCCUGGCAUUCAGUCUCAGCAAGUUAUUUUAAACUCAAGCUAUUUUUUAUUCUGCUUUUUGUUGUCUGUCAGUAACUAUCUUUUCCCCAGGUCUUCUCCCGCUCCCUUCGUGGACUGGGCUGAUGUUAUGGGGAGGCCACAGCCUCAGGUCCCUGUUGCCCCUCAGGCUUGCUGCUAAUGCUCACUCACAGGUUAGAGGCAGCUGACACUCUGCAAAAGUGAAAGCGAACAUUUCGCAGUUACGCAAUGCCUUUGUCUGUGCUGUCUGAGAGCGCCCUGUGGCCACCCUCCCUCUAAUCUGCACAGUGUCCUGUGAAGUGGGCAGAGAAACAGAAGCAUCUGGAGAUGAAAGACUCAGCCAAGCUCCGAGCCUACUUUCUCCCUUCUGAGAACAACUUUGGCCAGAUCUCCAUGCCUGUCUCAGGAAGGUUUUUCUCCGCUCCCAAUAUCUUAAUGAAAGUGACAGCUGGUGGCUGUGGGCCACUCUGUUCAGCAGAGCAUUAGGCUAUAGCCCCCAGGUCAGGGGAGUGUUGUCAGCUCAGAACAGCUACUCCUACUCUGGAAAAUUCUCCACAGGCAAGAGGAUCUAUC